UUAGGGCUGUUCUCAAAUUUCACUUUCUCACGCACCCUCGACGCCUCCAAACUCCAAACCGAAGCCGACCAAAAAAAACCGUAGAUCUGCAACAGCGCCGGUGAAAUUGAAUUCGAGUGUUGGUGUUGAAGAAGGAACAGUUAUUGGGCUUGACGAAUGAGCAUGCAAAUGGAGAAGAUUGAUAGAAAAAGGCGAGAUCGUCUAGGGUCGGCCAUCGGCAUUGGAAGACCGCAGAUCUGCCAUAGUCCCCUUCAAUUUCUAUCCGAUUGUUUGUGGAGCAGACUAGCAGGCAAGGGGCUCUUGAAUUAGGGUUUUGGGUUGGUGGACUAUUGUGGCUGGACAGGGUGACCGGAAGUAUUUGCACGUCGAUUUCUACAAAUGCCAUGGCUAUAACAGGGAUUGAGGAUCAGCGAUACUGGAACUGGACUGCUACUGAAGAAUCAAGCCUAUCAGCGUUUUCGGCAUGGCUAAAGUUUUCUCUGAGCCGAGAGUCAAAAGUGGUAUGAACCAGAAUGGUGGAAGUUUGGUGAUAAAAAAUCCUCCUAUCAUCAUUAGUUUUGUCAAGGAACAAGCACUACAAAAAAGAAUUUAUGUAAUUGAUAUUUUUGCCAUGCUUCAUGUGAGAUGUAUGACAUUUCUCAAGAUCUGGCCAAAUUUGUUUGAAUAAAUAGAGAUAUUCUCCGUACCUAUGCCCAUGAUGAUGUCAGUGUCGGAUCUUGGUUUAUUGGGCUUGAUGUUAAACAUCUUAAUGACGCCCAAGUUUUGCUGCUCCUCUUGGACAGGAGGAGCCAUUUGUGCUGGUGUAUGAUUUGAUUUGCUUUGAGGUGGUGGAUCAAAGUAAAACCAGAUGCAGGGAGAUGGUUUAAAAGACAUUGGAUUCAUAUCCGUGAGAUGUUUGCAGCCUGCACAAUAUAGAUUAUGAAGAUUGAGGAAAAAUCAUAGCUGUGAUUGAGAAUUUAUUUCAAGUGUCUUACCCGUAGGUGAAGUAGCUUUGUUCCCAUUACAGUACACUGCAGAUAGGAAAGAAGGGAUUUCAACAAACUAUGCCUAGAGAAGGCAGUCGGUAUAGCUUUAUAGGUUCAGUAACACAAAUUUACAGUGUAAUAGAGGGUGUUCUUAUUGGAACAUAAUCACACAUUUCUUUUGUAGCAUGUUGAUUCGCCUUGGGUUAUUCUUUAUUCAGAGCAGUAAAAAUUUUGGAUUUCCUUUGAAAAUA